GAUGAACGCUGGCGGCGUGCCUAAUACAUGCAAGUCGAGCGAACAGACGAGGAGCUUGCUCCUCUGACGUUAGCGGCGGACGGGUGAGUAACACGUGGAUAACCUACCUAUAAGACUGGGAUAACUUCGGGAAACCGGAGCUAAUACCGGAUAAUAUAUUGAACCGCAUGGUUCAAUAGUGAAAGACGGUUUUGCUGUCACUUAUAGAUGGAUCCGCGCCGCGUUAGCUAGUUGGUAAGGUAACGGCUUACCAAGGCAACGAUGCGUAGCCGACCUGAGAGGGUGAUCGGCCACACUGGAACUGAGACACGGUCCAGACUCCUACGGGAGGCAGCAGUAGGGAAUCUUCCGCAAUGGGCGAAAGCCUGACGGAGCAACGCCGCGUGAGUGAUGAAGGUCUUCGGAUCGUAAAACUCUGUUAUUAGGGAAGAACAAAUGUGUAAGUAACUAUGCACGUCUUGACGGUACCUAAUCAGAAAGCCACGGCUAGCUACGUG
rnacentral:rRNA from 1 species